GCCUUAGUAGUAUAAAUAUUACCCUGGUCUUGUAAACCAAAAAUGAAGUCCAAAUCUCCCUAAGGCA
rnacentral:tRNA from 1 species